rnacentral:lncRNA from 1 species
GCUAUUGAGCAUGUGCAUUCACACUCCUAUCGAGGUAUCAAUUUGGGUAUGUCACUACAUAUUCCUAUUGCGAUAUGAUUAGGGCAUGAUCAUUUGAUGUUCCUGUUGGGUGAGUGAAAUCACGUUCCUAUUGCGCGUAAAUAAGGAUUUCUCUCUCUAGAGUUAGUUGAUUAUCCAUAUUACAUUGAGAAGUAUGCAUGCAAGCUUGACUAUGAUACCAGUUGAUGAGUUUGAGUAUAAAAGUGGAAGCUUUAUCUAUUUUAAGUGAUCCUUUGUGUUAUUUUAUGCAUUCAUAAUUAAUUUCCUUGUGCAUAUCUCAUAUAUAUAUACACACACACUUGCUUAGUCGAUAUAGAGUACUUUAUAUCACAUGCUCUAUCUGUGCAUAUCUUAUUAUAUUAUUUCUAUGCCUCUUUUCUAACAUUGUUAUAAACAUAAACUGCACAGGUUUAUAAAGUGAGCAUCUUUUGAUCCAAAACCUCAACACUAAUUCGUUGGGAUCGGUCAAGGUGUUUACUGAGUACUUAGGUUACUGUACUCAUAUUAUACUUAUGCACAUUUUUGUGCAGGUUCUCACCUUGGUACUAGUGGACCUAGGAGGCAAUCUAGGAGUACUUGCUUGGAGACUUACGGUAGAGCUGCUUCAUCUAUCCACAGUGCCUCGAAGUCACCUUCCACUAUCUAUCUAUUAUUAUUUUCUACCAUCCAGACAGUAUAUAUAUUAUGUCUCAAAAAAUUAUAUAUUAAUUCAGUUGUAGUAGCUCGUGACACCAGGUCCUUGGGAUAUUUUGGUUAUAUCCACGCUUGUAUUGGCAUCUUUAUACUUAUUCUAUGUUAUUGACUCUGUAUAGACUUA